GACGAACGCUGCGGCGUGCUUAACACAUGCAAGUCGAGCGAUGAAACACCUUCGGGUGUGAAUUAGCGGCGAACGGGUGAGGAACACGUGAGAAAUCUGCCUUCAACUCUGGGAUAACUCCGGGAAACCGGGGCUAAUACCGGAUAUGAGCCUUGAUCGCAUGAUCGGGGCUGGAAAGUUUUUCGGUUGAAGAUGAUCUCGCGGCCUAUCAGCUUGUUGGUGAGGUAAUGGCUCACCAAGGCGACGACGGGUAGCCGGCCUGAGAGGGCGACCGGCCACACUGGGACUGAGACACGGCCCAGACUCCUACGGGAGGCAGCAGUGGGGAAUAUUGGGCAAUGGAGGAAACUCUGACCCAGCGACGCCGCGUGAGGGAUGAAGGCCUUCGGGUUGUAAACCUCUUUCAGUAGGGAAGAAGCGAAAGUGACGGUA
rnacentral:rRNA from 1 species